CCUACGGGUGACAGCAGUGAGGAAUAUUGGACAAUGGACGAGAGUCUGAACCAGCCAAGUAGCGUGAAGGAUGACUGCCUUAUGGGUUGUAAGCACUUUUUAUAAAGGGAUAAAACGAGGCACGUGUGCCUUUUUGCAUGUACGUUACGAACAAGGAUCGGCCAACUUCGGGCCAGCAGACGCGGUAAUACGGAGGGUCCGAGCGUUACGCGGAUUUAUUGGGUUGAAAGGGAGCGGAGGGGGGUUGUUAAGUCAGUUGUGAAAGUUUGGGGCUGAACCGUGGAAUUGCACUUGAUACUGGCAGGCUUGAGUACAGUAGAGGUGGGCGGAAUUCGAGGUGUAGCGGUGAAAUGCGUAGAUAUCUCGAAGAACCCCGAUGGCGAAGGCAGCUUACUGGACUGUGACUGACGUUGAUGCGCGAAAGUGUGGGGAGCAAACAGGAUUAGAUACCCCUGUAGUC
rnacentral:rRNA from 1 species